GUUAUAUUUUCAGAAGUACGCAGUGAUUUUGAUGUCAGAUCUUAACUUUUUCUUUUAUUAGCCAAACGCUGCUUAAUAGCAAACAAGAAAUUUUUGAAAUAAUCGAAAUUUAUAGUUAGUCAUUUUUGUGAAAUGGCUUAUACUUCUAUCGCCGGUGGGUUGAUUCUGGCUGCUCUUCGGGAAAUGGGUGAACCUGUGACUUUCCGGGAACUUUUGAAACACAUAGCCUGCAAUAUUGGUGUUCAGAGUAACGACUUAAAAGACGAUAUACAGAUUGCCACGCAGGUUGGCGUUCAGCGCGGAUUCAUCCAGAAGAGUGGACACCGAUUCUUUCUAAAAGACGAAUUCCCAGACGAAGAAAUAAAAGCGGCCGUUGAUUUAGUUUUUAAACGAGAUAAAGAAAAAGCAUGCCAACAAAGUCUUCUGGAGAAAAUAACUAAGGGCCCGCAAGAGCAACUGUCCCAGACAGAAGGCAAAACUUUGUUGGAGGUUUUAGCGUAUUCUGAUGAAGAAGAUGCUAUGGUAUUUAAUAUUAUAAGACCAGAGGAUAAAACAGAAAGCAAGGCAAAUUCUAAUGAAACUAUAUCUUCGCAUUCGAAUGGCAUGGGACAAGGGGAUUCACAGUCUUCGUGUUUAACUAUUGAAAGCAAAGAUUCAAAGAGCAUUUCAAUAUUUGACGAGCAGAAAGAUUCGAAGAUGUCACAAACUGCUGAAAGUUGUUCCGAGGACGAACAAGUUUUUCUUAAUAUUAAGUAGAACAAUUCCACGUUGUCAAAUACCAAUGGAACAGUCAAUUAAAUUUGUUCAAUUGAAGAAGACGGUUCGGUGUUAAACGAAGACAACGGAUCAAAAAGGACAGAUAUGAGUGUAAAAUGUGAAGCGAGCUUCACAGUUACUUUGAAUGGUGUAAUGUAAGAUCAUUUUCGCGUGUCACAAUUGGGAAUAUAAAAUAACACCACCUUGUCAAGAUACAAUAUUUCAAAAAAUAAUCCUUGGGUGCAUUGGUGGAGAAGAUGUGCAUGAAAUGCCUUCCGUUCCACAUCAAAAGGACACUUGGCAAGUGCUCGACCGUCCCAAUUACUGAAUUGCAGAUGCAGAUAGACAAUUGUCAAUGUCAAUAAUGGUUAAUACUUAACGGCCAGCUGCUUGAAGCCGCUUUUGUGUGGGAAGCUGCUCGUGUGGGUGUCAGAUCAAUAAUCCGACCUUCGGCCGAACGGUCCGCCCAUUUGCCCACUUGUCCAUUCCACGCCCCCUGUUGGCGCGCCCCCAGUGCCACGCCCCCCGCUGCCUAGUUAGCCAUUUGACAGAUUUCAGACAGUUUAAAGUCGCUGCGGGGGCAGGGAAAAUGGAAAAUGGGAAAUGGGGACUGGGAAACGGGGAAUGCGUCUGACCUAGGCCCCAAUGCCUGUGAAGGACACUCGAGCUGUGUUUUAAUUGCAGGUAUUAUGUCUUUCUCAGGGGCCCGCACAAGUGUGACCCCUGCACUGGCGAAAACAAUGGAGCAUUUGGAAUUUAAUCACUCUCCGAAAACCCUCUAGUUAAAAGUAUAUUCCUAGAUUGUGUAAAAAAAUGGUAUCUUUAAAAUAAUAUUAUUGUCCUUGCUUAAGUUACAAAAAAUAUAUAGAGUUCCUUAAUAUUUCGCU